UCCCUAUCCGCUGUGCGCGUAGGAAUAUUGAGAAGGGCUGUCCCUAGUACGAGAGGACCGGGACGGACGAACCUCUGGUGUGCCAGUUGUUCUGCCAAGGGCAUGGCUGGUUGGCUACGUUCGGAAAGGAUAACCGCUGAAAGCAUCUAAGCGGGAAGCCUGCUUCGAGAUGAGUAUUCCCACCAACUUGAUUGGUUAAGGCUCCCAGUAGACGACUGGGUUGAUAGGCCAGAUGUGGAAGCCCGGUAACGGGUGGAGCUGACUGGUACUAAUAGGCCGAGGGCUUGUCCU
rnacentral:rRNA from 1 species